rnacentral:rRNA from 1 species
UACGGAGGUGGCAAGCGUUAUCCGGAUUCACUGGGUUUAAAGGGUGCGUAGGUGGGUCUGUAAGUCAGUGGUGAAAUCUUCGAGCUUAACUCGGAAACUGCCAUUGAUACUAUAGAUCUUGAAUUUUCUGGAGGUAAGCGGAAUAUGUCAUGUAGCGGUGAAAUGCUUAGAUAUGACAUAGAACACCAAUUGCGGAGGCAGCUUACUACGGGAACAUUGACACUGAGGCACGAAAGCGUGGGGGAUCAAACAGG